rnacentral:lncRNA from 1 species
AGUUUUCCUAAUAGACAAUUGAUAAUAAGACGGGAUAGGCAAAGCAAUACUAUUGUUCGCAGAUUUAUGGAAAAUUUGUAAACGAUGGGAUUUUCUUCUCUCGCUUAGUAAAUCCAAAGAUAGGGAUUUCUUCAAAUUGGACACGCUGGUGUUAUAACUAUAAUCAUGUUUAAUAAAUCUCACUGCGCGACUUUGGAUAGCUUCUAGUUUCUCCACUUGAUUCUGUCUAUAAGGAUCCCAUACUGCAGACGCAUACUCUAAAUGUGGCCUGACAAGUGAUACAUAUGCUGCACGUUUAGUUUCUUCACAGGAGGCAUACAAGUUCCUUUUCACAAACGCAAGUGAAGAGUUCCCCUUUUUAGCAAUCUUGUCCACAUGAGAGUUCCACCGCAGAUCACUGGACAGCAAAACACCUAAAUAAUGAUGUUGUCGAACAGAUACCAGGGUUUGGUUGUAAAGAGUGUAGUCUUUAACAACCGGGGAUCUACUACGGAAAACAGAUAUUUUGUAGCAUUUAGAAGGAUUGAACUGCUCAGAAUAAGCACAUCAUAUCACCUUCUAGAAGCUCACUUAAGAGCUGGGAUGAUCGUGUUUCAUGACGAGCUUUAUGCGACUUUGAAAUUCACAGCUGGGUAUGCGUUCCAAUUUCCGGGGUAGUGAAGAAAAUCGAAUUAGCAAAAUUACAGAUCUGUCAUGACUGCACAGUUUGUGGUAGAUGAAGGUGCCAAGUAUAUCUUGAUGCGCUGUACAAAUGAAAACCAGAUCAUGUAUUCAUAAAUGGUUUGUUGUCGACUCUAAUUACACUUAAUAUAUAACAAAGUGCUUCGUCGGGCGUAAUACAAAAUACUUUGGCGCGAACGAGAUAUGGCAGCGGAGCUACAUCCUCUUCGCCGAAUUUUCGGACUGUCGCUCGAUCCAGGCAAAAUUUGGCAUACUGUAUCAAACGACUGGUUUUGUAAAUCAAGAGAGUUCAUGAGGAGUGAUUGAGGACAUUGCAGAAGUAUGCGUCCGCGAUCUGGUCGAUGGAAAUGGUGGACAAGUCGACCCACCGUGGGUUGGUUCGUCGCGAAAGAAGGACACUGUUAUUGUUUCAGCCCUCUUCAGAAUAAUUAGAAGAGCGUUACGGCGAAAAAAUUUCGUUGAAUAGCUAGUGGUUGCUUCAGAUCAAUUUAGGUUGGUGAGGGAAUUGUUAAAUUCUCACCAGUUUAAAUCAGAGAUGGCGGGAAGAUCGAAUUUUCGCGGCAACUCAAGACAGCUUGGAUCGCUUGGAUUGGAGACGCCACUAUCUACGCCUGCUACAGUAGCCGACACAGUGGUAGCGCCUGUCUCUUUUUCAGAUAUAAAGCGACCGCUUAAAGAUUUGCAGAAGUUGGAUAAAUCGAUAGGACCUCGUUUAUUCAUGAAACGAACUGGAAGACCUCUUACAGGUAAGGAAAAUUUUUGGGUUAUCUAAAUGGCUGAAUCUAAGAUGAACAUUUAAAUCCACUUUUAAUUUGUGCACAUACACUGAUGUACUACAUUAUGCUGCUGCUGAUAAUGAUAACACUGUUUGUUUGUACUGCAGGGAGAGAAAAAGUGUUUGCUGGAAUUGUUCCAAUUGAUUUAGCUAUCACAACUGGCAAAGGGCUCUGUGGUUUUUAAUAGAGUGCUAGCUCUGGCUGUUUAUCCAAUUGCAAUUGCUGAGAAAAAGAGCAAACUGAAGAAGUUGAUUGUUUGGCUAAAUGAGGAGAAUAAAGUUCCGGAAGAAGAGGGCUUCACUGUUGAUGGUAAACAUUACAAAGCUAACUUUAAAGUUACUGUCUGGCCUUCCUGAAGUAACAGAGAAACUUGGCUUUUUUAAGCUGUGACUCUGUGAGAAAUGACAUCUCCAGGUGCUUUUUGGGAACAAAAUAUUUGAACUGGAAACUUUGGUAAGUGUUUGACAUGCCUGGAACAGCAGAGGAACUGUGCUUUUCAAACUGCAGCUCUGUGUUCCUUGGGCACUAAAAUGGUAAAUUUUCCCUUUCAAACUAAUUAUAGGAGUUAGUUUGUAGUAAGUAAAAGAUUGUUGGUAUCACCAUUUGGCCUGCCUGAAACAGCAGAGGAAACUAGCUUUUCAGGCUGUGACUCUGUGGAAAAUUUAUCCUCAGGUAUUUCUUGGGCACUAAAGUGUUAUUAAUUCCACAUGAGCCAUUAUUUAAUUUAAUUUGUGUUGAGUAAAAGACUGUUGGUAUCACUGUUUGGCCUGCCUGAAACAGCAGAGGAACCUGGCUUUUCAAGCUGUGACUCUGUGGGAAAUUUAUUCUUGGGUGUUUCUAGGGCACUAAAAUGAUAUUAAUUUUACUUGAACCAUUUUUGAAAUUAGUUUUUCGAGCACGAAAAACUGCUGAUAUCACCGUUUGGCUUGCCUAAAACAGCAGAGGAACUUGGCUUUUCAAGCUGUGACUCUGUGGGAAAUUUAUCCUCAGGUGUUUCUUGGGCACUAAAAUGGUAAAUGAAUGUAAUUACACAUGAACAAGUCUAUAUUUUGAUUGAUAAUAUCCUAAUUUGUAACCAGAUGACAAUAAUUUUGGAACUUUAGUUCUCUAGAGCAGACAAAAGGCUCACCUAUUUUAAGCUGGGACUCUGUGGAAGUCUAAUUUUUACAGGUGAUUGCCAGGCACUAACAUGGUGGUGUAUUAUUGUGAUGGAAACCUUGGAGUAACAUUUCUUAGUGCUUUGAGAAAGAUUAACAUGCAGGCAAGCUAGAAAAGAAAAGCUAUGUUGUCAAAAGAGUCAUAAAAUUAUAUUUGUCUCUUAGUUACAUUGUCAUAUAUUUUAUA